GUGGGGAAUAUUGGACAAUGGGCGAAAGCCUGAUCCAGCCAUGCCGCGUGUGUGAAGAAGGUCUUCGGAUUGUAAAGCACUUUAAGUUGGGAGGAAGGGCAGUAAGUUAAUACCUUGCUGUUUUGACGUUACCGACAGAAUAAGCACCGGCUAACUUCGUGCCAGCAGCCGCGGUAAUACGAAGGGUGCAAGCGUUAAUCGGAAUUACUGGGCGUAAAGCGCGCGUAGGUGGGUUUGUAAGUUGGAGGUGAAAUCCCCGGGCUCAACCUGGGAAGUGCCUCGAAAACUGCAUGACUAGAGUAUGGUAGAGGGUAGGGGAAUUUCCUGUGUAGCGGUGAAAUGCGUAGAUAUAGGAAGGAACACCAGUGGCGAAGGCGACUACCUGGACUGAUACUGACACUGAGGUGCGAAAGCGUGGGGAGCAAACAGGAUUAGAAACCCCGGUAGUCC
rnacentral:rRNA from 1 species